GCAAGCUUGUGUGAGGGGUACACGGGUUCCGAUAUUCUUGAACUGUGCAAGAAAGCCGCUUAUUUUCCAAUUAGGGAUCUCCUUGAUGAAGAGAAGAAGGGGAAACAAUCAUCCGAGCCAAGACCACUGUCGCAGUCAGACUUGGAAAAGGUUCUUGCUACAUCCACAAAGACAAAGGUUGCUGCAAGCGAAUACACUGGAUUGAGCUCUAACUCAUCAGGGUGGACAGGGCACAGGGAAGCUGGUGAUUAUGAGGUUCAAGCAGCAAUAA
rnacentral:misc_RNA from 1 species